CACGUAGUCAACCUUCCCGAUAUGGGGGAUAACUAGCCGAAAGGUUAGCUAAUACCGCAUACGAUCUUCGAGUGGCAUCACUUGAAGAUGAAAGGAGCAAUCCGCUUUCGGACGGGACUGCGUCCCAUUAGCUAGAUGGUGGGGUAAUGGCCUACCAUGGCUUCGAUGGGUAGCUGGUUUGAGAGAGCGACCAGCCACACUGGGACUGAGAAACGGCCCAG
rnacentral:rRNA from 1 species